UAGGGAAUCUUGGACAAUGGGCGAAAGCCUGAUCCAGCCAUGCCGCGUGAGUGAUGAAGGCCUUAGGGUUGUAAAGCUCUUUCGCCAGGGAAGAUAAUGACUGUACCUGGAUAAGAAGCCCCGGCUAACUUCGUGCCAGCAGCCGCGGUAAUACGAAGGGGGCUAGCGUUGUUCGGAACUACUGGGCGUAAAGCGCACGUAGGCGGUUUUCCAAGUUGGAGGUGAAAUCCCCGGGCUUAACCCGGGAACUGCCUCCAAAACUGGGAGACUCGAGUCCGAGAGAGGUGAGUGGAAUUUCCAGUGUAGAGGUGAAAUUCGUAGAUAUUGGAAAGAACACCAGUGGCGAAGGCGGCUCACUGGCUCGGUACUGACGCUGAGGAGCGACAGCGUGGGGAGCAA
rnacentral:rRNA from 1 species